UCUACGGGUGGCAGCAGUGGGGAAUAUUGCACAAUGGGGGAAACCCUGAUGUAGCGACGCCGCGUGAGUGAAGAAGUAUUUCGGUAUGUAAAGCCCUGUCAGCAGGGAAGAAAAUGACGGUACCUGAAGAAGAAGCCCCGGCUAACUACGUGCCAGCAGCCGCGGUAAUACGUAGGGGGCAAGCGUUAUCCGGAUUUACUGGGUGUAAAGGGGGCGCAGACGGCGAUGCAAGCCAGGAGGGAAAGCCCGGGGCCCAACCCCGGGACUGCUGUUGGAACUGCGUGGCUGGAGUGCAGGAGGGGCAGGCGGAAUGCCUGGUGUAGCGGUGAAAUGCGUAGAUAUCAGGAGGAACACCGGUGGCGAAGGCGGCCUGCUGGACUGCAACUGACGUUGAGGCCCGAAAGCGUGGGGAGCAAACAGGAUUAGAUACCCUUGUAGUC
rnacentral:rRNA from 1 species